GACUCUGAGUGGUGGAUCACUCAGCUUGUGUGUCGAUGAAGAACACAGCUAGCUGUGAGAACUAAUGUGAAUUGAAGGACACAUUGAUCAUAGAUACUUCAAAUGCACUUUGUAGCCAUGGGUUACUCCUGGGGCUAUGCCUGUCUGAGGGCUG